UGGGGAAUCUUAGACAAUGGGGGAAACCCUGAUCUAGCCAUGCCGCGUGAGCGAUGAAGGCCUUAGGGUUGUAAAGCUCUUUCAGCUGGGAAGAUAAUGACGGUACCAGCAGAAGAAGCCCCGGCUAACUCCGUGCCAGCAGCCGCGGUAAUACGGAGGGGGCUAGCGUUGUUCGGAAUUACUGGGCGUAAAGCGCACGUAGGCGGAUUAGUCAGUCAGAGGUGAAAUCCCAGGGCUCAACCCUGGAACUGCCUUUGAUACUGCUAGUCUUGAGGUCGAGAGAGGUGAGUGGAAUUUCCCGAGUGUAGAGGUGAAAUUCGUAGAUAUUCGGAGGAACACCAGUGGCGAAGGCGGCUCACUGGCUCGAUACUGACGCUGAGGUGCGAAAGCGCGGGGAGCAAACAGGAUUAGAUACCCUGGUAGUCCACGCCGUAAACGUGAAUGCCAGUCGUCGGGUUGCAUGCAAUUCGGUGACACACCUAACGGAUUAAGCAUUCCGCCUGGGGAGUACGUCGCAAGAUUAAAACUCAAAUGAAUUGACGGGGGUCAUAGCUGUUUCCUG
rnacentral:rRNA from 1 species